GCCCGGAACCUCGGCAAUCUCAGGGCGGCGAAUCGCGUCAGGGCCGGAAGGCAGCAGCGCUAAGUCGUUUCCGUGAUGUGUUGAGGACCUCCGGGCCGA
rfam:Acidobacteria bacterium RIFCSPLOWO2_12_FTLL_67_14b rifcsplowo2_12_scaffold_16964, whole genome shotgun sequence.